rnacentral:tRNA from 1 species
GCACGGGUAGUAUAGUGGCAAGUAUUCCAUGUUGUGGCCUUGGCGACACAGGUUCGAUUUCUGUCUUGAGCA